GCCGAAGUGGUGGAAUUGGCAGACGCGCUACAUUCAGGGUGUAGUGGGCGAAACGCCCGUGUGGGUUCGAAUCCCACCUUCGGCACCA
rnacentral:tRNA from 1 species